CUAAAAGGCAGAGUGUAACUUACCCAAAACAUUUUAAGAAUUUCAUAUCAAAGUAUAAAUUUUUUUAAAAGUGCGAUCUGGGUGCAUACUUCUAAACUGGAAUUUGUUGAUGCUUUAUGUGGAGAAGCGGCAGCUUGCUGUCUUGCUCUGGAUGUCGCGAAGCAUCAUGAUUUUAAGUUUAUUAUUGUCGUGAGUGAUUCGAGGGUAGUGAUCAAUGCUCUUUAUAGAGGAGGUUACCCGAUGGGAGAUUGAGAAUUAUGUCUUAUUUUGUAUUAGAUCCACUCUUUAUUUUGUUAGUUGUAUUUUUCUAAUAUUAGUAGCAACUGUAAUUUUAUUGCGGAUAAUGUGGUUAAGUGGGCAUUUACCCAGAGGUUCGGUUUUAUACCAAUUUUCUCUAUCCCGGAAGGAACACCUAUUUUGUAAUAACGACGAGAUCUAACUACGUUAUUAUAAAGUAAGCUUUUCUUAAUUAAAAAAAAAAAAGAUAAUUUUUUUUUUGUUUAUAUAAAGAUUUUCACCUAAUUUUGUUAAGAAAUUUAGUGUUUUUAUCACCGUUAAAAUUUGAGGACUUUUCAAGUAUAAAUGGCGGUGGCCGGCAGCGGAUUGGGUGGUGGUUUGUUACUCUCACGGCCGGUGACCUUUGUCACCGGAAACGCCAAGAAGCUCGAAGAAGUUCGCGCCAUUUUGGGCAACUCCAUUCCCUUUCAGUCCUUCAAGCUCGAUCUACCCGAAUUGCAAGGCGAGCCUGAAGAUAUCUCCAAAGAAAAAGCUCGUUUGGCUGCCCUUCAGGUGAAUGGGCCAGUGCUGGUUGAAGAUACUUGUCUCUGCUUCAAUGCUCUUAAGGGUCUUCCUGGGCCUUACAUCAAAUGGUUCUUGGAGAAGAUUGGUCAUGCAGGUCUCAACAAUAUGCUGAUGGCAUACGAGGAUAAAUCAGCUUAUGCGUUGUGUGUUUUUUCUCUUGCUCUUGGACCAAAAGCUGAACCUAUUACAUUUCUGGGUAAAACUCCGGGUAAGAUUGUUCCACCGAGGGGACCUACUGAUUUCGGAUGGGAUCCUAUUUUCCAGCCUGACGGAUAUGAGCAAACUUAUGCUGAAAUGCCAAAGGAGGAAAAGAACAAAAUAUCACACCGUUUCAGGGCACUUGCACAAGUGAAGUCUCAUUUUGCUGAAGCUGGAUACACAUUUCAGACCGACACCACUACUAUCUGAAUGGUUUAACCACCCUUGUCUGCCUCAAAUUAUAGUUAGAAAAGCUCUACCUCUUAAAAGGGACAAACAAACGUGUUGAAAAAUGCACCUAAACUCAUUUAUUACUUUACAAGAAAGAAAGAAAGAAAGGAAGAAAGGAAGAAAGGAAAAAGUGAUAAUAAUGAGCUGUGAGGCAUGCAUGGUGGUCUUGAACUUGGCAUGAAAUAUAUUAAUAAUGCUUCUUCUUUAUGUAUGUCUAAGUUCAGUUAUCUUCAACAGGAGUGUUAAUUACAAUCUCUUAAUCAAUUUCUACAUUUAAAAUCACACGUUGGAAAUUUUUUUCAA